AACGAACGCUGGCGGCAGGCCUAACACAUGCAAGUCGAACGCCCGUAGCAAUACGGGAGUGGCAGACGGGUGAGUAACGCGUGGGAACGUGCCCUUCGGUUCGGAAUAACUCAGGGAAACUUGAGCUAAUACCGGAUACGUCCGUAAGGAGAAAGAUUUAUCGCCGAAGGAUCGGCCCGCGUCGGAUUAGCUAGUUGGUGAGGUAACGGCCCACCAAGGCGACGAUCCGUAGCUGGUCUGAGAGGANGAUCAGCCACAUUGGGACUGAGACACGGCCCAAACUCCUACGGGAGGCAGCAGUGGGGAAUAUUGGACAAUGGGCGAAAGCCUGAUCCAGCCAUGCCGCGUGAGUGAUGAAGGCCUUUAGGGUUGUAAAGCUUCUUUUACCCGGGAAGAUAAUGACGGUACCGGGAGAAUAAGCCCCGGCUAACUUCGUGCCAGCAGCCGCGGUAA
rnacentral:rRNA from 1 species